CCUACGGGUGGCAGCAGUGAGGAAUAUUGGUCAAUGGCCGUAAGGCUGAACCAGCCAAGUCGCGUGAAGGAAGACGGAUCUAUGGUUUGUAAACUUCUUUUAUAGGGGAAUAAAGGUAUCCACGUGUGGCUAUUUGCAUGUACCCUAUGAAUAAGCCUCGGCUAACUCCGUGCCAGCAGCCGCGGUAAUACGGAGGAUGCGAGCGUUAUCCGGAUUUAUUGGGUUUAAAGGGUGCGUAGGUGGGUUGAUAAGUUAGAGGUGAAAGUUCGGGGCUCAACCCCGAAACUGCAUUUAAUACUGUUGGACUAGAGAAUAGUUGAGGUAGGCGGAAUGUAUGGUGUAGCGGUGAAAUGCUUAGAGAUCAUACAGAACACCGAUUGCGAAGGCAGCUUACCAAACUAUAACUGACGUUGAGGCACGAAAGCGUGGGUAGCAAACAGGAUUAGAUACCCGAGUAGUC
rnacentral:rRNA from 1 species